AAUGAAAGUUGACUUACAACAAUGGCUUUAGUGGCGGACUGGUGAGUAACACGUAAGCAACCUGCCUAUCAGAGGGGAACAACAGUUAGAAAUGACUGCUAAUACCGCAUAUGCCUUAGUAACACAUGUUACAAAAGGGAAAGGAGCAAUCCGCUGAUAGAUGGACUUGCGUCUGAUUAGAUAGUUGGUGGGGUAACGGCCUACCAAGUCGACGAUCAGUAGCCGGACUGAGAGGUUGAACGGCCACAUUGGGACUGAGAUACGGCCCAGACUCCUACGGGAGGCAGCAGUCGGGAAUAUUGCGCAAUGGAGGAAACUCUGACGCAGUGACGCCGCGUGCAGGAAGAAGGUUUUCGGAUUGUAAACUGCUUUAGACAGGGAAGAAAAAAGACAGUACCUGUAGAAUAAGCUCCGGCUAACUACGUGCCAGCAGCCGCGGUAAUACGUAGGGAGCAAGCGUUAUCCGGAUUUAUUGGGUGUAAAGGGUGCGUAGACGGUAAUGCAAGUUAGUUGUGAAAUCCCUCGGCUUAACCGAGGAACUGCAACUAAAACUACAUUUCUUGAGUGUUGGAGAGGAAAGUGGAAUUCCUAGUGUAGCGGUGAAAUGCGUAGAUAUUAGGAGGAACACCAGUGGCGAAGGCGGAUUGCUGGACGAUAACUGACGGUGAGG
rnacentral:rRNA from 1 species